rnacentral:tRNA from 1 species
CUUUAAGAAGCUAUGCCUCUAGCACCGGCCUUUUAAGCCGGAGACGAGAAUAACCCUCUCCUUAAAGC